CCCUUAGAUGUUCUGGGCCGCACGCGUGCUACACUGAGUGGAUCAGCGGGUCAGGUUGCGCGAAAGCGUUUCCUAAUCUUUAAAUCCGCUCGUGAUGGGGAUUGACGGUUGCAAUUUUCUGUCAUGAACGAGGAAUACCUUGUAAGCGCGGGUCAUCAUCACGCGCCGAAUACGUCCCUGCCCUUUGUACACACCGCCCGUCGCUCCUACCGAUUGAGUGAUCCGGUGAGGCUCUGGGACCUGGACGGAAAGAGCGUUUCGCUUGUUCUGUUUGGGAAACUUGGUCGAACCUUAUCAUUUAGAGGAAGGAGAAGUCGUAACA
rnacentral:rRNA from 1 species